AAGUAACUUUAUUGACAGACACACAACAUUUUGGAACUAAAAGGGCAGCGGGUGUGGUGGGGAACUGAAUACAGUCACAGUUUGAAUAUAUCCUUGUCUGGGUGCUGUGCAAUGACUGCUGCACUUCAGGAUGCCUUACAUGCAUGGUGAUGGGGUUGAGUGCAGAGGGCGCUAAGGUCGAAGUUCUCAGGGCUGUGUUGGUGAAUGUACAAGGUGUUGGGACGGCAGCUGGUGGAUGGUAAAGAACCUGAAUGCUGGGGAAGUGCGGGUUUGGA